UCAUCGCCGUCAUCCUCGUCGUCGUUUUAGUCGUCAUUGUCAUCAUCGUCAUCGUUAUUGUCGUCAUUAUUGUUCUUGUUGUUGUUGUUGUUCUGGUUGUUUUUAUGGUUGUUCUUGUUGUUGUCAUCAUCGUCAUCAUAGUUUCGUUGUGUUGUUGUUAUUGUUGUCAUUGUUGUCAUUCUAGUCUUUGUUGUCGUUGUGGUUGUUGUUGUCGUUGUUGUCGUUGUUCUCAUCGUUAUCGUUGUGGUCGUUCUUGUCGUCGUUCUUGUUGUUGUCAUUGUUGUCUAUGAGGUCGUUGUUCUCGUCGUUGUCGUUGUGGUCGUCGUUGUCGCUGUGGUUGUCG
rnacentral:lncRNA from 1 species